GAUGAACGCCGGCGGCGUGCCUACUACAUGCAAGUCGAGCGAACGGACGCGAAGCUUGCUUCUCUGAUGUUAGCGGCGGACGGGUGAGUAACACGUGGAUAACCUACCUAUAAGACUGGGAUAACUUCGGGAAACCGGAGCUAAUACCGGAUAAUAUUUUGAACCGCAUGGUUCAAAAGUGAAAGACGGUCUUGCUGUCACUUAUAGAUGGAUCCGCGCUGCAUUAGCUAGUUGGUAAGGUAACGGCUUACCAAGGCAACGGUGCAUAGCCGACCUGUGAGGGUGAUCGGCCACACUGGAACAGAGACACGGUCCAGACUCCUACGGGAGGCAGCAGUAGGGAAUCGUCCGCAAAGGGCGAAAGCCUGACGGAGCAACGCCGCGUGAGUGAUGAAGGUCUUCGGAUCGUAAAACUCUGUUAUGAGGGAAGAACAUAUGUGUAAGUAACUGUGCACAUCGUGACGGGACCUAAGCAGAAAGCCACGGCUAGGGACGUG
rnacentral:rRNA from 1 species